rnacentral:rRNA from 1 species
UAACCGCAGCCCAAGUGGUGGUCGCGAUUAUUGGGCCUAGAGCGCUCGUAGACGGGUUGGCAAGUCCCUUGUGAAAUCGGGCGGCCCAACCGUUCGGCUGGCAAGGGAUACUGCCAGCCUUGAGGCCGGGAGACGUCAGGGGUACUCCGGGGGUAGCGGUGAAAUGCCCUGAUCCUCGGGGGAGCACCAGUGGCGAAGGCGCCUGCCGAGAACGGACUUUACUGUGAGGGUCGAAGGCUAGGGGAGCGAACGGG